rnacentral:lncRNA from 1 species
GAGAAUGGGAAUUAACCGCCAUCACCUAUGCCUCCAUUUUUUCCUGCUGUGGACAACCUUUGAGUUCCCUGGGCCUGUUUAUGCCAUGGAGUUUUUCUUUCUAGGGCCACAGCCUGAAGCUUGGAAUCGAGUUUGGGACUGAAAAGCUUACUCAUUGGAAUUCUAAGGACAGCUCCAGUUAACAUGAAAGUAAAAAUAAAAACCCAGAAAACCUUUUGGACAGAUUACAACAAAGAAGAAUUCUGAUACCUCUUGUAGAUUCAUUUUCCACCCCAAAGAUUAGGUAACAAAGGAGAUGUGGGAGAGAAAGAAACAAAAUGGGAGAGAAAUUGAGAUAAGAGAGGACCAUGUGAAGGAGGUGAAGUAUUUAAAGUGGAAAGGAGGAAAAUAACCUGAACUCUUAACUGCUCUUGAAAGUUCACUCUGUCUUCACUCCAGCUCUAUUGACUGAUUACCUGUAGCCCACUUGCUAUUCAACAGUCUUUAUCAAAGACAGAUCACUUGGAUACUUUUGUAUGAGUGGUGUCACAAAAAGACAUCUUGAGCCACCAAAUAAGGUGCAAUAUACAAACCAGAAGUCCCAUUCAGCCCAGUAUUUGUUCUCAAAUGUCAUAAAUGCUGUGGACAAGAAACUUUGCACAACCAGAA